rnacentral:rRNA from 1 species
UGCAAGAAUAAAGCACCCUGCUAAAUACGUGGCCAGCAGGCCGCGGUUAAUACGUAGGGUGCAAGCGUUAAUCGGGAAUUACUGGGCGUAAAGCGUGUGUAGGCGGUUCGGAAAGAAAAGAUGUUGAAAAUCCCAGGGCUCAAACAUUGGAACUGCAAUUUUUAACUGCCGAGCUAGAGUAUGUCAGAGGGGGGUAGAAUUUCACGUGUAGCAGUGAAAAUGCGUAGAUAUGUGGAGGAAUACCGAUGGCGAAGGCAGCCCCCUGGGAUAAUACUGACGCUCAGACACGAAAGCGUGGGGAGCAAACAGGAUUAGAUACCCUGGUAGUCCACGCCCUAAACGAUGUCAACUAGCUGUUGGGGCCGUUAGGCCUUAGUAGCGCAGCUAACGCGUGAAGUUGACCGCCUGGGGAGUACGGUCGCAAGAUUAAAACUCAAAGGAAUUGACGGGGACCCGCACAAGCGGUGGAUGAUGUGGAUUAAUUCGAUGCAACGCGAAAAACCUUACCUACCCUUGACAUGUCUGGAAAGCCGAAGAGAUUUGGCCGUGCUCGCAAGAGAACCGGAACACAGGUGCUGCAUGGCUGUCGUCAGCUCGUGUCGUGAGAUGUUGGGUUAAGUCCCGCAACGAGCGCAACCCUUGUCAUUAGUUGCUACGCAAGAGCACUCUAAUGAGACUGCCGGUGACAAACCGGAGGAAGGUGGGGAUGACGUCAAGUCCUCAUGGCCCUUAUGGGUAGGGCUUCACACGUCAUACAAUGGUCGGGACAGAGGGUCGCCAACCCGCGAGGGGGAGCCAAUCUCAGAAACCCGAUCGUAGUCCGGAUCGCAGUCUGCAACUCGACUGCGUGAAGUCGGAAUCGCUAGUAAUCGCGGAUCAGAAUGUCGCGGUGAAUACGUUCCCGGGUCUUGUACACACCGCCCGUCACACCAUGGGAGUGGGUUUCACCAGAAGUAGGUAGCCUAACCGUAAGGAGGGCGCUACCACGGUGAACGAUUAGUCUUU